ensembl:lncRNA novel transcript
ACUGCCUUGCGGAGGAGGCGCAGUCGUGCGGUGUGACUUGGACAGCUUGCUGCUCUCUGAUGGCACGCGGAGGGAGAAUAAUUAAAAAGGCCAGCAUCACUUACUAAGACUCCCCAGUACAUUCCAAGUUUCCUGAGCAGGAGAAAUAGAUUUUGCAGAAGUGAGCCACGGAGACCCAAAUGAGGAGGAAAUAA